rnacentral:lncRNA from 1 species
CCAGCAGAGACGUGCCGGUAGAAACGAGGGGAGAACAGCCAAAUCCACUGGGAAGGAAGGGGCAGCAGGAACGGAUCCGGAGAGCCACAAGCGUGGUGAAGGUUUAAAGACUUUUGAGCAUCGCUGGGAGCAUCACAUGAACUUCAGCGCUGACACUCACCCUCAGGGGGCAAAGCUCGGCGGCGAGCGCCCAUCGGACGCCGGCGGCGGCGGCGGCGCGGCGGAC